UACGUAGGGGGCAAGCGUUGUCCGGAAUCAUUGGGCGUAAAGCGCGCGUAGGUGGCCCGGUAAGUCCGCUGUAAAAGUCCAGGGCUCAACCCUGGAAAGCCGGUGGAUACUGUCGGGCUCGAGUCCGGAAGAGGCGAGUGGAAUUCCUGGUGUAGCGGUGGAAUGCGCAGAUAUCAGGAGGAACACCGAUGGCGAAGGCAGCUCGCUGGGACGGUACUGACACUGAGGCGCGAAAGCGUGGGGAGCAAACAGGG
rnacentral:rRNA from 1 species